rnacentral:rRNA from 1 species
UGAGGCGGCGCUUAACAUGCAAGUCGAACGGUAACAGGGAGCUUGCUCCGCUGACGAGUGGCGAACGGGUGAGUAAUACAUCGGAACGUGCCCAGUAAUGGGGGAUAGCUCGGCGAAAGCCGGAUUAAUACCGCAUACGCCCUGAGGGGGAAAGUGGGGGACCGCAAGGCCUCACGUUAUUGGAGCGGCCGAUGGCUGAUUAGCUAGUUGGUAGGGUAAAGGCCUACCAAGGCGACGAUCAGUAGCUGGUCUGAGAGGACGAUCAGCCACACUGGGACUGAGACACGGCCCAGACUCCUACGGGAGGCAGCAGUGGGGAAUUUUGGACAAUGGGGGAAACCCUGAUCCAGCAAUGCCGCGUGUGCGAAGAAGGCCUUCGGGUUGUAAAGCACUUUUGUCAGGGAAGAAAUCCUUUGGGCUAAUACCCUAGGGGGAUGACGGUACCUGAAGAAUAAGCACCGGCUAACUACGUGCCAGCAGCCGCGGUAAUACGUAGGGUGCAAGCGUUAAUCGGAAUUACUGGGCGUAAAGCGUGCGCAGGCGGUUGUGUAAGACAGGUGUGAAAUCCCCGGGCUUAACCUGGGAAUUGCAUUUGUGACUGCACGACUAG